GGAGUGGUACGAUGCUACAAUUGAAGCCCACACUGUAAAUGGUUUCUAUGUUAGUUAUGAUGGUUGGGGAAACAAAGAAGAGGUGGACCCUGCAAAUGUAAGAACAAUCCAACUGGAAGUUAAUGCUUUGCUUGAAGCAGAAAGAAUGGCUGAAGCUACAAAGCAGGAUAUCAAACGCAAGAUUGCUCAAGCUGCUUCUGUUGACUUCCAAUCGCGAAAUUUACCAUCAAAGCUUCGAAUUGAACCCGAUGAUCCUGAGGACGUAAAAGCCACCAAACGCAAGAAAAUUCAUGCUUUCAAGUCAAAGAUGCGCAUAGAACAGCUUGAAGUUACUCAAAACAAACGGCAGAAUGCUUGGCAGCAAUUUCAAUCCGCAAAAGGCAAGUCUAAGAAGAUUGGUUUCUUCUCUGGGCGGAAGAGGGAGAGCAUUUUCAAGUCUCCGGACGAUCCGAAUGGGAAGGUUGGUGUGACUGGAAGUGGGAAGGGUUUGACUGAGUUUCAGAAGAGGGAAAAACACUUGCAUCUCAAGGGUGCAACCGUGGAGAUGGAUGAUUAAAGUGAGGUUAGAUUUUGUAGGUUGCUGCUUUCUUUGUAUGUAUCUUCAUUUAGUAUCCAAUCCAUUUGUAUGGUUAGAUUCAUAUAAUGUGCUAAAAGUUUAGGUGGGGGGAUUCCCUUCCGGUAGGUGUUUUCUUAUGCCAUGACAGGAUCCUUUUUCCUUUGACGUUUUUAUGUUUACUUUUUCUAUUUCCUUAAAUUUAAU
rnacentral:misc_RNA from 1 species